rnacentral:rRNA from 1 species
UACGUAGGGUGCAAGCGUUGUCCGGAAUUAUUGGGCGUAAAGAGCUCGUAGGCGGUCUGUCGCGUCUGCUGUGAAAACUCAGGGCUUAACCCUGAGCUUGCAGUGGGUACGGGCAGACUAGAGUGCGGUAGGGGAGACUGGAAUUCCUGGUGUAGCGGUGAAAUGCGCAGAUAUCAGGAGGAACACCGGUGGCGAAGGCGGGUCUCUGGGCCGUAACUGACGCUGAGGUGCGAAAGCAUGGGGAGCGAACAGG